UACGAAGGGUGCAAGCGUUACUCGGAAUUACUGGGCGUAAAGGGUGCGUAGGUGGUUUGUUAAGUCUGCUGUGAAAUCCCCGGGCUCAACCUGGGAAUGGCAGUGGAUACUGGCAAGCUAGAGUGCGGUAGAGGGUAGUGGAAUUUCCGGUGUAGCGGUGAAAUGCGUAGAUAUCGGAAAGAACACCAGUGGCGAAGGCGACUUACUGGAUUCAUACUGACGCUGAGGCGCGAAAGCAUGGGGAGCAAACAGG
rnacentral:rRNA from 1 species